rnacentral:rRNA from 1 species
UACGAAGGGGGGCUAGCGUUGCUCGGAAUCACUGGGCGUAAAGCGCACGUAGGCGGACUCUUAAGUCGGUGGUGAAAUCCUGGAGCUCAACUCCAGAACUGCCUUCGAUACUGAGAGUCUUGAGUCCGGGAGAGGUGAGUGGAACUGCGAGUGUAGAGGUGAAAUUCGUAGAUAUUUCGCAAGAACACCAGUGGCGAAAGGCG